AAAGGUUAACCUUGGACUUCAAAAAAGAUUUAUCUCCAAAACCCUAAAUUCUCCCAAAUUUGCAGACGACGCUAACAGCAACAACAGGAUAAUGGCUUGGCGUGGUUCGCUUUCCAGAUCUCUCAUGUACACCGUGAGGGCUUCGACCUUCCGCUCUUCUCCGCCACUUGCUGCCGGCCGUCUCCGUCCUCCCCCCGUAUCCGCCCCUCGCCGUUUCUCCUUCUCCAAUCCCAGGACCUUGGGGGAGCUGGGAUGCGUGCAGUCACUGAUGCCUCUGCACAACAUGGCUGGAGUUAGGCUGACAUCUCAUUUGGCAACCAAUGUUCGAGCUUGCUGCGAGCUGUCCCAUGGUACCUUCUGCCGUUCUUGUCAGGAUCGUUAGUAGUUUCUUUGGAGGACAGGGAAAGAUGGGUGAGGUCAGCAGCGCUUCCCAACACUCAAUUGCAGGACCUGAUGCCACAUUGUAGGUGCUUGAACAUGUAGAUGGACCAGCACCACCAGGUGUCUGAAGAUCUGAGGUCUCUGCAUGUAGGUCUAUUCGAUGGGAACAUCCCGUUCGGACAGGGAAAAAUGUAAUAAUGCUUUAUUAUAUUGUCAUAGGCAAGACUUGAAAUCGUUCUCAUAUUUGAGCCAUUUUUGAAAUCUACAUUUUUACCUUCAUAUAUCGAGUUCAAUUUGUGUUGAUA